rnacentral:rRNA from 1 species
UACGUAGGGUCCGAGCGUUGUCCGGAAUUAUUGGGCGUAAAGGGCUCGUAGGCGGUUUGUCGCGUCGGGAGUGAAAACACACAGCUUAACUGUGUGCUUGCUUCCGAUACGGGCAGACUAGAGGUAUGCAGGGGAGAACGGAAUUCCAGGUGUAGCGGUGAAAUGCGUAGAUAUCUGGAGGAACACCGGUGGCGAAGGCGGCAUCCUGGACCGACACUGACGCUGAGGCGCGAAAGCUAGGGUAGCAAACGGG